UUCCGGUUGAUCCCGCCGGAGGCCAUUGCUAUCGGGGUCCGAUUUAGCCAUGCUAGUCGCACGAGUUCAGACUCGUGGCGCAUAGCUCCGUAACACGUGGCCAAACUACCCUUCGGAGGAGCACAACCUCGGGAAACUGAAGCUAAUUCUCCAUACGACACUCAGCCUGGAAUGGUGAGUGUUCGAAACGCUGCGGCGCCGAAGGAUGUGGCUGCGGCCGAUUAGGUAGACGGUGGGGUAACGGCCCACCGUGCCGAUAAUCGGUACGGGUUGUGAGAGCAAGAGCCCGGAGACGGAAUCUGAGACAAGAUUCCGGGCCCUACGGGGCGCAGCAGGCGCGAAACCUUUACACUGCACGCCAGUGCGAUAAGGGGAUCCCGAGUGCGCAGGCAUAGAGCCUGCGCUUUUCUGAACCGUAGGAAGGUUCAGGAACAAGAGCUGGGCAAGACCGGUGCCAGCCGCCGCGGUAAUACCGGCAGCUCGAGUGAUGSCCGAUCUUAUUGGGCCUAAAGCGUCCGUAGCUGGCCUUGCAAGUCCGUCGGGAAAUCCACCCGCUCAACGGGUGGGCGUCCGGCGGAAACUGCGAGGCUUGGGACCGGGAGGCUUGAAGGGUACGUCCGGGGUAGGAGUGAAAUCCUGUAAUCCUGGACGGACCGCCGAUGGGGAAACCACUUCAAGAGAACGGAUCCGACAGUGAGGGACGAAAGCUAGGGUCUCGAACCGGAUUAGAUACCCGGGUAGUCCUAGCUGUAAACGAUGCCUGUUAGGUGUGACUCCCACUACGAGUGGGUGUUGUGCCGUAGGGAAGCCGCUAAACAGGCCGCCUGGGAAGUACGUCUGCAAGGAUGAAACUUAAAGGAAUUGGCGGGGGAGCACUACAACCGGAGGAGCCUGCGGUUUAAUUGGAUUCAACGCCGG
rnacentral:rRNA from 1 species